rnacentral:misc_RNA from 1 species
AGUCUAAGUUUUUUAUGUCGGAAACAGGUAGCCGUAGGGGAACCUGCGGCUGGAUCACCUCCUUAAUCGACGACAUCAGCUGCUCCAUAAGUUCCCACACGAAUUGCUUGAUUCAUUGAAGAAGACGAUAAGAAGCAGCCCGAAAUUGGGUCUGUAGCUCAGUUGGUUAGAGCGCACCCCUGAUAAGGGUGAGGUCGGCAGUUCGAAUCUGCCCAGACCCACCAAUUUUGUGUGGGAAACGCCUGUAGAAAUACGGGGCCAUAGCUCAGCUGGGAGAGCGCCUGCCUUGCACGCAGGAGGUCAACGGUUCGAUCCCGUUUGGCUCCACCACUACUGCUUCUGAAAGUUUUGAAAGCUUAGAAAUGAGCAUUCCAUCAGGUUGAUGAUGAAUGUUGAUUUCUAGUCUUUGAUUAGAUCGUUCUUUAAAAAUUUGGGUAUGUGAUAGAAAGAUAGACUGAACGUUACUUUCACUGGUAACGGAUCAGGCUAAGGUAAAAUUUGUGAGUUCUCUUAGUUGAGAAAUUCGAAUUUUCGGCGAAUGUUGUCUUCACAGUAUAACCAGAUUGCUUGGGGUUGAAUUAUGGUCCAACAUGGUCA